rnacentral:rRNA from 1 species
GAGGAAUAUUGGUCAAUGGACGGAAGUCUGAACCAGCCAAGUAGCGUGCAGGAUGACGGCCCUAUGGGUUGUAAACUGCUUUUGUAUGGGGAUAAAGUUAGGGACGUGUCCCUAUUUGCAGGUACCAUACGAAUAAGGACCGGCUAAUUCCGUGCCAGCAGCCGCGGUAAUACGGAAGGUCCAGGCGUUAUCCGGAUUUAUUGGGUUUAAAGGGAGCGUAGGCCGGAGAUUAAGUGUGUUGUGAAAUGUAGACGCUCAACGUCUGAAUUGCAGCGCAUACUGGUUUCCUUGAGUACGCACAACGUUGGCGGAAUUCGUCGUGUAGCGGUGAAAUGCUUAGAUAUGACGAAGAACUCCGAUUGCGAAGGCAGCUGACGGGAGCGCAACUGACGCUUAAGCUCGAAGGUGCGGGUAUCAAACAGGAUUAGAUACCCUGGUAGUCCGCACAGUAAACGAUGGAUGCCCGCUGUUGGUACCUGGUAUCAGCGGCUAAGCGAAAGCAUUAAGCAUCCCACCUGGGGAGUACGCCGGCAACGGUG